rnacentral:SRP_RNA from 1 species
GCUGGGUAUGGUGGCCCAUGCCUGUAAUCCUAGCUACUCUGGAGGCUGAGAUAGGAGAAUCACUUGAACCCAGGAGGCGGAGGUUGCAGUGAGCUAAGAUCGUGUCACUACACUCCAGUACAGGAGAUGAAAUGGAAACUUUUUUUUUUUCUUUUUGAGACGGAGUCUCACUCUGUUGCCCAGGCUGGAGUGCAGUGGCACGAUCUCGGCUCACUGCAACCUCCGCCUCCUGGGUUCAAGCGAUUCUCCUGCCUCAG